AUAGAGCUGACGAGUCCAAAAUGGGACGAAAUGUGCAUCCUGGAU
rnacentral:hammerhead_ribozyme from 1 species